rnacentral:rRNA from 1 species
GGGCUCCGCAGGCGGUUUCUUAAGUCCUGAAUGUGAAAGCCCCCGGCUCAACCGGGGAAGGGUCAUUGGAAACUGGGGAACUUGAGUGCAGAAGAGGAGAGUGGAAUUCCACGUGUAGCGGUGAAAUGCGUAGAGAUGUGGAGGAACACCAGUGGCGAAGGCGACUCUCUGGUCUGUAACUGACGCUGAGGAGCGAAAGCGUGGGGAGCGAACAGGAUUAGAUACCCUGGUAGUCCACGCCGUAAACGAUGAGUGCUAAGUGUUAGGGGGUUUCCGCCCCUUAGUGCUGCAGCUAACGCAUUAAGCACUCCGCCUGGGGAGUACGGUCGCAAGACUGAAACUCAAAGGAAUUGACGGGGGCCCGCACAAGCGGUGGAGCAUGUGGUUUAAUUCGAAGCAACGCGAAGAACCUUACCAGGUCUUGACAUCCUCUGACAAUCCUAGAGAUAGGACGUCCCCUUCGGGGGCAGAGUGACAGGUGGUGCAUGGUUGUCGUCAGCUCGUGUCGUGAGAUGUUGGGUUAAGUCCCGCAACGAGCGCAACCCUUGAUCUUAGUUGCCAGCAUUCAGUUGGGCACUCUAAGGUGACUGCCGGUGACAAACCGGAGGAAGGUGGGGAUGACGUCAAAUCAUCAUGCCCCUUAUGACCUGGGCUACACACGUGCUACAAUGGACAGAACAAAGGGCAGCGAAACCGCGAGGUUAAGCCAAUCUCACAAAUCUGUUCUCAGUUCGGAUCGCAGUCUGCAACUCGACUGCGUGAAGCUGGAAUCGCUAGUAAUCGCGGAUC